GGCAGCAUGGUGUAGUGGUUUGACUGUUAGACUUUGACUCUGGGAGACCCGGGUUCAAAUCCCCACUUGGCCA